CAGUCGGUUAAGCGCUUGUCUGCCUUUGGCUCAGGUUAUCACUCUCUCUACCUCUCUCACUGGACUGACCUCAGAUGAACUCUUAGAAGACACUAUUGCUAUUCCUCCCAUCCUAGACUCUGUCUACAAAUACAGACCUAAAGUUUGGUGAGAUACUAAGGAAUGCAUAUCAUCUCACAUCAUAUAAAUGAGCAAAAAUAAGCUGAAUUUUUUACCUUUUUUACUUUUUAACCAAUUUCUUCAGAACAGAGAACUGUAGACCACUGUCUAUAAAUUCCACACAUUUUCUAAAUGAUAAGCCAUGUUUGUGGAACCCACAACUAAUCUCUUCUAUUCCUAGAUUUUAAGAAUACUUAGACAAGCUAAAUGUUUGAAAUAUAUUAAAAUUAAAUUCAAAAACUGACAAUUUGGAUACCAGUAAAGUUCCAGCUAUGGAAAAAUUAAGUGAAACCAGUGAAGGUAGGGGAUGGCAAUGAAACGGAGCUGGGUGCUACGUAAUUUAACUUUGGGAAAAACAUAAUCAACCUGCAUAUCAUUCUAUACAAUUGAUGAUUUCUCAGAAGAAGGUUUGAAGAUGGAAUGAUAACAAGAACCAACCUGAGUAGAAAACAUUUUGCCGGAGAAGCUGUCAGUGGUUUGCAAACCUGAAGAGGAGAGAAUGGGUGUCUGAGAGAAACAUUAAAUAGUGAGGACAUGCUUGUUGGAAAUUGAGGGGAUCCCCAAUAGCAUCCCUCAUCACCCAUGGAUUCAAGGCCAGUGGAGAGGUAGACACGGAGUGAGGCAGAAGCUCUGGAGAAUGGAGUUCCGUGGUGCAGUCACAGUGGGCUUCCUGGUAGCCUUACCCAGCCCUUGGGACAGCAAAAGACUGCAGGCCUGCUUCCUAGGGACAGAGCCUCUUGAGAUGAAAGCCCAGAAGCUCUUUGAAUCCAGUUCUCUUGGGAUUUUAUGGAGAUUUCAUUACAUAGAAAUGAUUGACUGUCAUUGGCCAUUGGUUGAUUCAACCUCCAGGCUCUCUCCCCUCUCCAGAGAGAAGACAUUACCAUCAUGUUUUCAUCCAGUAUAGAAUGGCAUACAUUUGAUAAAGUGCUUUGAAUUUGUUCGGGACACAGGAAUCAGAGCAUUUUGCAAAACGUGCAGACUGUGAACCUACAAAUCUAGCAGUAACCAGGAGGGGAAGUCAAAGGAAGAGAGAACUUGAACAACAGCCCCAGGGCAGCCCACUGGUGGGGUCUGAGAACACGGUUUCCUGGGGCCUGCAGCCUGCUCCUUUGCCUUGGAAUUUCUUCUAAAGGAAAAAUUAAAUUUAAGACAUGUUUCUGUAGACUCUAGCUUGACUUUAGCGGUUUCUGUGGUUCACAGUAGUAAAUCUGUGUUUUUCUUUGACAAUCCAUCAGUCCAUAUUUUGGCGGUCAUGCUGAGGGCAAACAUAUAUGCUUUAAGAAUCAAGAUAGCACAGCCACUGUGGAAAACAGCAUGGAGAUUCCUCAAAAAAAAAAAAAAUAGAAUUACCAUAUGAUCCAAUUAUUCCACUCGGUAUUUACCCGAAGAGUAUGAAAAUACUAAUUCAGAAAGAUGUGCACCCCUAAGUUUAUUGCAGCAUUAUUUACAACAGCCAAAUUAUGGAAGCAACCCAAGUGUCCAUCAAUAGAUGGAUGGAUAAAGAAGAUGUAACACACACACACACACAAAUGCACAAACACACACAUAUACACGCCAUGGAAUAUUACUCAGCCAUAAAAAGAAUGAAAUCUUGCCAUUUGCAACAGCAUGGAUGUAUCUAGAGGGUAUUAUGCUAAGUGAAAUAAAUCAGUCAGAGAGAGACAUAUAUCAUAUGAUUUCACUAAUAUGUGGAAUUUAAGAAACAAAGCAAAGGGGGCGCCUGGGUGGCUCAGUCGCUAAGCGUCUGCCUUCGGCUCAGGUCAUGAUCCCAGGGUCCUGGGAUCGAGCCCCACAUCGGGCUCCCUGCUCAGCGGGAAGCCUGCUUCUCCCUCUUCCACUCCCCCUGCUUGUGUUCCCUCUCUCGCUGUAUCUCUCUCUGUCAAAUAAAUAAAUAAAAUCUUAAAAAAAAAAAAAAAGAAACAAAGCAAAGGAAUAGAGAAAAAAGAGACAAGCAAAAAACAGACUCUUAAAUAUAGCGAACAAACUGCUGGUUACUAGAGGGGAGGAAGGUGGGGGAUGGGUGAAACAGGUGAAGGGGAUUAAGAAUAUAUUUAUGGGGGCACCUGGGUGACUCAGUCGGUUAGGCAUCUGACUCUUGAUUUCAGCCCUCAUCAUGAUCUCAGGGUUCAGGGUUGUGAGAUCGAGCCCCACAUCAGCCCCAUGCUGCGCAGAGCAGCUUGCUUAAGAUUCUCUCUCUCCUUCUCUCUGCCCUCCCCCACCUCUUAAAAAAAAAAGAGUACACUUACGAUGAGCACUGAGCAAUGUAUAGAAUUGCUAAAUCACUAAAUUGUACACCAGAAACUAAUAAAACAGUGUAUGUUAAUUAUACUGAAAUUAAAUUUUUUUAAUUUUUAAAAAAGAAUCAAUAUAAAAACUAAUAUAACCAGCAAGAGUUGUUUUAGUGGUGCCAUGAGUUGCUUUGAAAUCCUCUGAGGAAUCAAAACUCUAUGGCCUCAGAACUGAUACUCAGUAAGAUUCAGGGUAUCCCAUUAUAUGAGCUUACAGCAAUGAAAAUUCCUACCUGCCGAAAGGAUAUAUAAAACCCAGUUAAUAUCCUGCUUUUCUCAUGUUAUAUUUUAACAUCACACAGAAUUCCAGUGUGCAAAAGUAACUUGAACAGAGUUGAUUGAGCCUCAUAAAUUUCUCCCUAAAUGUAGUGUAAAUUCCCAGAGAGUAGAGACUGUGUCUUAUACUCCUUUGUAUCCCCUUAAAUUUCAGCUACCAGUUCAGUCUUCUAUGAGCAAAAGCUGAAUCUGGGGGCACCUGGGUGGCUAAGUCAGUUAACCAUCCAACUCUUGAUUUUGGCUCAGGUCAUGAUCUCAGGGUUGUGAGAUCAAGCCCUGUGUUGGGCUCCACGCUGCACAUGGAUCCUGCUCGGGAUUCUCUCUCUCUCCCUCUCCCCCUGCCCCUUCCCUGCUCCCUCCUUCUCUAAAAAAAAAAAAAUUGAAUCUGGAAUUGAGACUGACAUACAUACACAAAUUUCUCCAUUGUGUCUACAAGUACGUAUGUAUAUGAAUACAUAAAGUUAUGUUAGAUAAGUUGUUUUUGAAUUAGCUAAAGGUAUUUACAUAAGCUUCAUUUUCACUAGCACAUUAUCACAUUUAUUUUGUUUUAUACUAUGAUAAUAAGAAAUGGUAUAGAAGUCUUUCCUCUAAGGGAAUUCAAUAUCCAUGCCAACAAGUUUUCCCAUGGCACUGCCAUUAAGUUAUUAUGAAGGGAUGAAUACUCUUCUCACCUAGGGAUACAUAAACUGCAGAGAGAAUGUAAAAUUACACUGUGCCAAUGUGGUGCCCACAUGUGGACACUGAGCACCGUAAAUGUGACUAGUCAAAAUUGAUACAUGAUUCAAGUGUAAAAUGCACACCCAAGUUUGAAGAUACUAUGAAUAACGUGAAAUAUUGCACUCGUUAUUAUUGUAUCGACUAAAUGUUGAAAUGACAAUA